UGGGGAAUAUUGCACAAUGGGCGCAAGCCUGAUGCAGCAAUGCCGCGUGAGUGAAGACGGCCUUAGGGUUGUAAAACUCUUUCGCUAGGGAAGAUAAUGACGGUACCUAGUAAAGAAGUCCCGGCUAACUCCGUGCCAGCAGCCGCGGUAAUACGGAGGGGACUAGCGUUGUUCGGAAUUACUGGGCGUAAAGAGUUCGUAGGCGGACUAGCAAGUUAGAGGUGAAAUCCCAGGGCUCAACCUUGGAACUGCAUUCGAUACUGGUCAGCUGGAGUAUGGGAGAGGAUAGUGGAAUUUCCGGUGUAGCGGUGAAAUGCGUAGAGAUCGGAAGGAACAUCAGUGGCGAAGGCGACUGUCUGGCCCAAUACUGACGCUGAGGUGCGAAAGUGUGGGGAGCAAACAGGAUUAGAUACCCUGGUAGUCCACACCGUAAACGAUGAAUGCCAGUCGUCGGGUAGCAUGCUAUUCGGUGACACACCUAACGGAUUAAGCAUUCCGCCUGGGGAGUACGGUCGC
rnacentral:rRNA from 1 species